GAGAUGGGAACGGUUCAGUCAUUCGAUCACUCCGCACUCUGCAAAUGCGUAUCAUUUCCACCAAUGUGCUCGGUGUGGAUUUUUGUAGGGAAGACCCUUUCUUUUCUGCUUUUUGAAAGGAUUCACUAAUGGAUUCCCUGGGGUGUUCCAUGCAAAGUUUCCCAAAGCUUAUAAGGUAAAAGACUAAUUCUAUGAGGGCUUAAUAGGCAUUUGGGGAAGUCUAUGCACAAAUUAACCUGGAAAUCACUGAUUAAACAACACUUCCUUAGAAGAUCACUGAUUAAAGAAACUCAACAACGAAGGAUUUUCUUAAGUAUGGGCGUUUUCAAAGUUUGUAAUUGGCUAAAGUAUAUUUGAGUCUCCCAGCAGAGUAUAAAGCAUGCAGUCUUUCCCCAAAGUUAUGAGCGAGAGUUCUAAGAAAAACUGUCUUGGAAACACUUCCCCAGUAUAUUUGGUUGACUCAUAUGAAAUUGCCAACCCACGGCUGUUUUUUUAUCUACAAAACGGCAUUUCCAUAUGGUUCAACCUGACGUGCACAGCAGGGUUUUUCUCAAGUGUUUUGUGACUCCUUUAUCUGAUUUCAUAAUGUGAUGGGGUUCGUAGGCCCCGAGCCCCUUAAAGGGUACUUGACGUGUUGUCUUUUAUGUGCUCACUGUUAGAGCUGGAAAUGGUCCUGGGGAGGCGUGGCCCAGAUGGCUACUCUCUGCCCAAACCUGUGCCUGUCCUUCCAUACUGUGGAGUCAAUUGAAGCAGCCACGUGAGGGAGAAAGAAACGGAUUACUUUAAGCCACGGAAGCUUGGGAGGUGUUGUUGACAUCGCGGAAAGAAGUGUCGAUGUAACCAACACAGUAAAGUUGGGAGCAGGUGGUGAGAGCGGCCGUCCAGGGCCCUGAAGGUGGGUAAGAGGAUAGAGCAAAAGAGGACCACCCUCAGCAAGGCUCACACGACAAAAGGGUCACCAGUCAGGAUGGCCGGACCGGGCUCACGCGCGCAGAAGCUCUCUUAGUCAAUGGGGGCUGCUACAACAAAAUGCCAUCAAUGGAGUCACUUAAAAACAA